rnacentral:misc_RNA from 1 species
AGAGAGAGAGAGAAUCUGGCUGCAAACCACUUGCUUUAAAUAUGAAAACAGAUGGAUAGAGCAGAGAUAUUCAAACUCUAUAAAAAGGUAAAAACCCCAGAAUCUCACAUAUUGUAAGAUGGUUGUGCUUCCCAUUAGAACUAGAAUGGUGACUAGUGACCAACUGAAGGUUAUCAACAAUGUGACUAUUAACUUUAUGCCUCUAAUAAUUAAAAGACCAUACAUUUA